CCCAGACUCCUACGGGAGGCAGCAGUGGGGAAUAUUGCACAAUGGGGGAAACCCUGAUGCAGCGACGCCGCGUGAGUGAGGAAGUAUUUCGGUAUGUAAAGCUCUAUCAGCAGGGAAGAAAAUGACGGUACCUGACUAAGAAGCCCCGGCUAACUACGUGCCAGCAGCCGCGGUAAUACGUAGGGGGCAAGCGUUAUCCGGAUUCACUGGGUGUAAAGGGAGCGUAGACGGCCAUGCAAGCCUGGAGUGAAAGCCCGGGGCCCAACCCCGGGACUGCUCUGGGAACUGUGCGGCUGGAGCGCGGGAGGGGCAGGCGGAAUUCCUGGUGUAGCGGUGAAAUGCGUAGAUAUCAGGAGGAACACCGGCGGCGAAGGCGGCCUGCUGGACCGCGACUGACGUUGAGGCUCGAAAGCGUGGGGAGCAAACAGGAUUAGAUACCCUGGUAUC
rnacentral:rRNA from 1 species